UACGUAGGGUGCGAGCGUUAAUCGGAAUUACUGGGCGUAAAGCGUGCGCAGGCGGUCGUGCAAGUCGCGUGUGAAAGCCCCCGGCUCAACUGGGGAGGGUCACGCGAUACUGCUCGACUCGAAGGCAGGAGAGGGAAGUGGAAUUCCCGGUGUAGUGGUGAAAUGCGUAGAUAUCGGGAGGAACACCAGUGACGAAGGCGACUUCCUGGCCUGUUCUUGACGCUGAGGCGCGAAAGCUAGGGUAGCAAACGGG
rnacentral:rRNA from 1 species